rnacentral:misc_RNA from 1 species
UUAAGUUCAGCGGGUAUCCCUACCUGAUCCGAGGUCAACCUUGUUAAAAAUAUAGGUGGUGACCGUAUGUCCUCCCGACCGCUUUUAGGGGUCCGGCACGUGCUCCCGCAAAGGUGCUCCAUGUACCGAGGGUCGAACAGGACUCCGUCAUUGUCUUUGGGAGGGGUUCGAUUACUCGAACCAACCGUCCAACGCCAAAC